AUGAAAUCCUGGUGGCUGCUCCUCUCCCUCCUGGCAGCUCCCCGCUGGGUGCUGUCUGAGAUCCAGCUGACGGAGACUGGCCCAGGAGUGGUGAAGCCCUCAGAGUCCCUCAGACUCUCCUGUGUCGUCUCGGACUUCUCCAUCACUACCAGUGCUUACUACUGGCACUGGAUCCGUCAGUCCCAGGAGAAGGGGCUGGAGUGGAUGGGGUAUAUUGGUUAUCAAGGCAGCACCAACUAUGCCCCUUCUCUCAAGAGUCGAAUCUCCAUCUCCAGAGACACGUCCAAGAAUGAGUUCUCUCUGCAGCUGAACAGCAUGACACCUGCAGACACGGCCGUGCAUUACUGUGCAAGACACACAGUGUGGGGAAGUGAACCUCUCGGAGAGGAGCCCCAGCUCCAUUGUCUGUGUCAUUCCCCUUCUUCCUCCAGAACUGUGCCCAAAGCCCCCACCAUGCAGUCUGCUCUUCCUUUCAUUUCCAUCCUGACCCUGCUCCAAGAAUAUGCCUCAUCGGUGAAAGACCGAUUCACCAUCUCCAGUGAUAAUGGCAACAGCCUACUGCCUCUGCAAAUGAACAGCCUGAAAACCAAGGACACGGCCCUGUAUUAUUGUGUGGCCAUAAACACAGAGAUUAUAACUCUGGUCAUAACAAAGCUCAAUUCCUGUGAAAAACUGAAAAGUUUGCAAUAG